GGAAUUUCUUAAACAGCUAGGAUGUUGGCUUAGAAGCAGCCAUUCAUUUAAAGAGUGCGUAACAGCUCACUAGUCAAGAGAUUCUGCGUGGAAGAUAUAACGGGGCUAAGCGUAAUACCGAAGAUAUGGAUUGCAAUUUAUUGCAGUGGUAGCGGAGCGUUCCUAUCGGCAGUGAAGCCGGACUGUUAAGUACCGGUGGAGCGUUAGGAAGUGAGAAUGCUGGAACGAGUAACCAUAAGACAGGUGAGAAUCCUGUCGGCCGAAAGAGCGAGGUUUCCUGGGCUAUGGUAAUCAUCCCAGGGUUAGUCGGGCCUAAGCCGAGGCGUUUAGCGUAGGCGAUGGACAUCAGGUUAAUAUUCCUGAACUAGUCAAACUUUGUAUGCAGUUAGCGAUGAGAUAGGUGGAGCGGAUUCAUGGUUUAUCCGUUCAAGUGAUAGAGGAAUCUUGAUCGAGUAAAAGUGAACCUACGGGUUUACGAUUCCGCUGAAGGCAUUGACCAGAAAAGCUGGCAUACGCAUGGGUUUGGCUACCCGUACCGCAAACCGACACAGGUGCUCGAGUCGAGGAGACUAAGGCUUACGAGAGAAUGAUUGCUAAGGAACUCGGCAAAUACAGCGACCGUAACUUCGGAAUAAGGUCUGCCUACAUUUGUAGGCCGCAGCUAAAGAGCCCACGGAACUGUUUAUCAAAAACUCAGGUCUCUGCUAACACGAAAGUGGAUGUAUAGGGGCUGAAACCUGCCCGGUGCCGGAAGGUUAAGGGGAUUGCUUCACGGUGAGAACUGAAGCCCCGGUGAACGGCGGCGGUAACUAUAACCGUCCUAAGGUAGCGAAAUUCCUUGUCAGGUAAGUUCUGACCCGCACGAAUGGUUAAAUCAUGUGGGCACUGUCUCAGCAAUUAUCUCGGUGAAAAUGCAUUGGCGGUAAAGAUGCCGUCUGUCCGCACCAGGACGAAAAGACCCCGUGGAGCUUCACUACAGCUUUACAUUGUUGUGGGUUCUAACUUGUGUAGUAUAGGUGGGAGACUUUGAAGCAGAUACGCUAGUAUUUGUGGAGUCAUCAGUGAAAUACCACCCCCGUUAGGAUCUGCAUCUAACCUGUGCCGUUAUCCGGUAUAGGGACCGUGUAUGGUUGGUAGUUUAACUGGGGCGGUUGCCUCCUAAAGAGUAGCGGAGGCGUUCAAAGGUUGGCUAGCUACGGAUGGAAAUCGUAGUGGUAGUGUAUACGCAUAAGCCAGCUUGACUGUGAGGAGUACAUUCCGAUCAGAUGCGAAAGCAGGAGUAAGUGAUCCGCUGGACGAACCAUUGGUUCAUGAAUGUGGGAUUGCCAGCGCAAACGGACAAAAGUUACCCCGGGGAUAACAGGCUGAUAGCGCCCAAUAGUUCACAUAGACGGCGCUGUUUGGCACCUCGAUGUCGGCUCAUCACAUCCUGGGGCUGGAGCAGGUCCCAAGGGUCCGGCUGUUCGCCGGUUAAAGUGGUACGCGAGCUGGGUUCAGAACGUCGUGAGACAGUUCGGUUUAUAUC
rnacentral:rRNA from 1 species